CGAUGGUUAAUGUAUGUCAGUAUUUUUUCGAGAGUUAAGGUGUUGCCAAGAACAAGCACCUGAGACACAAACAACCACACUCAACACGGGCUCAUUAAGUGCUAUCCCAUCACUUUGAGAGGGGGUUUGUACAUAGUAGCAUCUAUUUACCUGGAAGCACCAAGUUUAGUAGAAGAAUGAUCUUUUAAUGCUACGAUUCUUGGACGCGAACCUAACCCAAUGAAGCUUUAUGUGGAAACGCACGUGCAAAUUGAUAAUUGCCA